rnacentral:rRNA from 1 species
AUUGAACGCUGGCGGCAGGCUUAACACAUGCAAGUCGAGCGGAGAUGAGGUGCUUGCACCUUAUCUUAGCGGCGGACGGGUGAGUAAUGCUUAGGAAUCUACCUAUUAGUGGGGGACAACAUUCCGAAAGGAAUGCUAAUACCGCAUACGUCCUACGGGAGAAAGCAGGGGAUCUUCGGACCUUGCGCUAAUAGAUGAGCCUAAGUCGGAUUAGCUAGUUGGUGGGGUAAAGGCCUACCAAGGCGAGGAUCUGUAGCGGGUCUGAGAGGAUGAUCCGCCACACUGGGACUGAGACACGGCCCAGACUCCUACGGGAGGCAGCAGUGGGGAAUAUUGGACAAUGGGGGAAACCCUGAUCCAGCCAUGCCGCGUGUGUGAAGAAGGCCUUAUGGUUGUAAAGCACUUUAAGCGAGGAGGAGGCUACUGAGACUAAUACUCUUGGAUAGUGGACGUUACUCGCAGAAUAAGCACCGGCUAACUCUGUGCCAGCCGCCGCAGUAAGAC